AUGCCCUCGCAUCUGGCGCUGCUGUCGUGCCUGCUGGUGCUGCUCCUCUCCCUCGACAAGUUCUUCCUCCACUACCUCAAGCGCUGGCUCUCCGGCGGCGGCAGCAUAAUCCCCCGGAUCCCGACCGGCGCCUUCAAGGCGCACUCGCACCGACCCAUGGCGGCCGCCGGCAGGUGGAGCGAGACGGCCAUGCUCGUCAUCGACAUGCAGAAGGAUUUCGUGGACCCGGCGAUGGGCAGCCCGGUGCUGGUCGCCGGCGGCGAGGCCGUUGUCCCCGCCGUCGCUGAGGCCGUCGCCGUGGCGCGGGAGCGCGGCAUCUUCGUCGUUUGGGUUGUCAGAGAGCAUGACCCUUCUGGAAGAGAUGUUGAACUUUUCCGCAGACACUUGUACUCUGGAGGAAAGGGUCCGACAGUGAAAGGUUUGAAAGGUGCAGAGCUGGCUGACGGGCUUUUUAUCAAAGAAGGAGACUACAAGUUGGUGAAGACAAGAUUUAGUGCUUUCUUUGCGACACACCUUGAUUCCGUUCUUAAAACACAAGGAAUAAAGAACUUGGUAAUUGUUGGUGUUCAAACUCCAAAUUGCAUUCGACAGACUGUCUACGAUGCUGUGGAAUUGGACUAUGAGAAAGUUAUUGUCCUUAUUGAUGCAACAGCUGCUGCUAGGCCAGAUAUCCAUUUGGCAAAUAUCAGAGAUAUGAAGACCAUCGGCGUGGAAACACCAACCUUGGAAGAGUGGCGCCGUUAA
rnacentral:rRNA from 1 species